rnacentral:rRNA from 1 species
GAUGAACGCUGGCGGCGUGCUUAACACAUGCCAGUCGAACGAAGCACUUUAUUUGAUUUCCUUCGGGACUGAUUAUUUUGUGACUGAGUGGCGGACGGGUGAGUAACGCGUGGGUAACCUGCCUUGUACAGGGGGAUAACAGUUGGAAACGGCUGCUAAUACCGCAUAAGCGCACAGCAUCGCAUGAUGCAGUGUGAAAAACUCCGGUGGUAUAAGAUGGACCCGCGUUGGAUUAGCUAGUUGGUGAGGUAACGGCCCACCAAGGCGACGAUCCAUAGCCGACCUGAUAGGGUGACCGGCCACAUUGGGACUGAGACACGGCCCAAACUCCUACGGGAGGCAGCAGUGGGGAAUAUUGCACAAUGGGCGAAAGCCUGAUGCAGCGACGCCGCGUGAGCGAAGAAGUAUUUCGGUAUGUAAAGCUCUAUCAGCAGGGAAGAUAAUGACGUUACCUGACUAAGAAGCACCGGCUAAAUACGUG